rnacentral:rRNA from 1 species
CCUACGGGUGGCAGCAGUGGGGAAUUUUGGACAAUGGGCGCAAGCCUGAUCCAGCUAUUCCGCGUGUGGGAAGACGGCCUUCGGGUUGUAAACCCCUUUUUUAGAGGACGAAAAUGCUGUUGCUAGUACCGAUAUAUGCUUACGGUACUCUAAGAAUAAGCCCCGUCUAACUACGUGCCCGCAGCCGCGUCAAUACGUAGGGUGCGAGCGUUAAUCGGAAUUACUGGGCGUAAGGGGUGUGCAGGCGGUUUUGCAAGAUGGAUGGGAAAGCCCCGGGCUUAACCUGGGAAAUCCGUACCUGACUGCAAGACUAGAGUGCGUCAGAGGGAGGUGGAAUUCCAAGGGUAGCAGUGAAAUGCGUAGAUAUUUGGAAGAACCCCGAUGGCGAAGGCAGCCUGCUGGGACGCAACUGACGCUCAUGCACGAAAGCGUGGGGAGCAAACAGGAUUAGAUACCCCUGUAGUC